GACGUAGGGCGCGAGCGUUGUCCGGAUUUAUUGGGCGUAAAGAGCUCGUAGGCGGUCUGUCGCGUCGGGAGUGAAAACACGGGGCUUAACUCCGAAACUGCAUUCGAUACUGCCGUGCUUGAGGACUGGAGAGGAGACUGGAAUUUACGGUGUAGCGGUGAAAUGCGUAGAUAUCGUAAGGAAGACCAGUGGCGAAGGCGGGUCUCUGGACAGUUCCUGACGCUGAGGCACGAAGGCCAGGGGAGCAAACGGG
rnacentral:rRNA from 1 species